rnacentral:rRNA from 1 species
CGGGGCGCAGCAGUGAGGAAUUUUCCGCAAUGGGCGAAAGCCUGACGGAGCAAUACCGCGUGGAGGAUGAAGGCGUACGCGUUGUAAACUCCUUUUCCCAAGGAGGAAGAUCUGACGUUACUUGGGGAAUAAGCAUCGGCUAACCCUGUGCCAGCAGCCGCGGUAAUACAGGGGAUGCAAGUGUUAUCCGGAAUCAUUGGGCGUAAAGCGUCUGCAGGUGGAUUGAAAAGUCUUUUGUUAAAUCUCUAGGCUUAACCUGGAAUCUGCAAAAGAAACUAUUAAUCUUGAGUCGAGUAGAGGGAAAGGGAAUUUCCAGUGGAGCGGUGAAAUGCGUAGAGAUUGGAAGGAACACCAACAGCGAAGGCACUUUCCUGGGCUCCGACUGACACUCAGAGACGAAAGCUAAGGGAGCAAACAGGAUUAGAUACCCUGGU